rnacentral:lncRNA from 1 species
AAACCUGCGAAUCUCUGUUAAAGAAUCACAAUCCUCUUUUAUCCUUCCAAUUGCAUCAACUUUAGUCGGAUUUGGUUUUCUUCCGUAAGAUCCACAUAAAUGUCCAACAAUUACAACCUCUCGUACUCCAAAUAUGGACUUCAUACCCAAUAAUGUAAGAUAAACUUCUCCAAGCCGAGUUAAAAUCUUUUCACAAUCUUGUAUAUGAUCAACAACAUAUUUGCGACACCCCUUCUUAUUUAAAGUUUCAUUCUUGUCUCC